rnacentral:pre_miRNA from 1 species
AGUGCAAUUGCUGGGUCGUGUGGUAAGUGAGUGUUCAGUUUUGUAAGAAAUUGCCAAAUUGUUUUCCAGAGUGGCUGCACCAUUUUACAUUUCCACCAGCAAU